CCUACGGGGGGCUGCAGUGAGGAAUAUUGGUCAAUGGGCGAGAGCCUGAACCAGCCAUGUCGCGUGCAGGAAGACGGCUCUAUGGGUUGUAAACUGCUUUUGUACGGGAAGAAAAAAGAUUACGUGUAAUCUAUCGACGGUACCGUACGAAUAAGGAUCGGCUAACUCCGUGCCAGCAGCCGCGGUAAUACGGAGGAUCCGAGCGUUAUCCGGAUUUAUUGGGUUUAAAGGGUGCGCAGGCGGGCUUAUAAGUCAGUGGUGAAAUCUUGCCGCUU
rnacentral:rRNA from 1 species